rnacentral:rRNA from 1 species
GACGAACGCUGACAGAAUGCUUAACACAUGCAAGUCAACUGUGGCGGACGGGUGAGUAACGCGUAAAGAACUUGCCUCACGGAUAGGGACAACAUUUGGACACGAAUGCUAAUACCUGAUACUGUGAGAGAGCUUUGCGUCCCAUUAGCUAGUUGGAGAGGUAACGGCUCACCAAGGCGAUGAUGGGUAGCCGGCCUGAGAGGGUGAUCGGCCACAAGGGGACUGAGUCACGGCCCUUACUCCUACGGGAGGCAGCAGUGGGGAAUAUUGUACAAUGGACCAAAGUCUGCUACAGCAAUUCUGUGUGCACGAUGAAGUUUUCGGAAUGUAAAGUGCUUUCAGUUGGGAAGCGGUACCAACAGAAGAAUUGACGGCUAGAUACGUGCCAGCAGCCGCGGUAAUAC